rnacentral:autocatalytically_spliced_intron from 1 species
AACCGCCCGGUGCGGACCCGCAUGCCGGGUGGUGUGGGAGGGGUCGGGCCGCGAGGCCUGCCCCUAUCCCAAUUUCGGCGUUAUCAUUAAAAAUCCAUAAAAUAUCCCAAU